ensembl:lncRNA
GCCUCAGUUUACAUUUAAAAGGAUUGAGGCAGUGUGGUGACACACACCUGUGACCCCAGCUCUCAGGAGGCUGAGGCAGGAGGAUCCCCAUGGGGUCGAGGCCAGCCUGGGCUUCAUAGUGAGACCCUGAUAUGAGACACAGAGGAGACAAAGCAAGGAAGGGAAGGGCACGGAACCCAGCACAACUCCCAGUUCCCCGCCCGACCCACGAGACAGCCUGAUGCUCCUCAUGAAGAUGCAGGCAGAGUAUGGGUGGAAGGUUUUGAGGACAUCCAACACCAGAAUCAAAGCCAUCUGAAGAGUUAUGUCAUCGACGAUUCACAUCAUGUCGACUUUCUGUCCAUGAAAAAUCUUCAAAAUGUUUUUCAAAAUUCAGUGAUGACUUUGUUGAUGAUGAUGAAGUAGGAAAAUUAAGGCAGCUGGAGCAAAGCCACGCUGUGCAAUUUAGGUCCACUGUCUCCAACACAGCAAAACAAGGCUUCAACAUCUCAUAGCAAGUCCAAAUUCCAACAGGACUGCACAAGAAGGUGUUGAUCUUUUCUCUGUAAUCUUUAUGUUUUCCAGUUUGUUUUUUAAAUUUUGUAUCCUCUGAAAUAUCCAAGUUCUUUGAAGAUACUUAACCUAUGACUAUUUGACAUAGAGGUAUUUCAAGUCAACUACCGAUACUUCUGUUUUAAAGUUUUCACAAGGCGAUUUCCAAAAUUAGCCAAGUUCCUUGGAUUUAAGAUCAAAGUCUUCCUUAUUAUUCUAUUUACUUGUCACUGUUUUGCUUAUCCCACUCCAGAAGAAACAUCCAAGUUAUGAGCCAAAAAGUAGAAACAAAGAAAAUUACACAUUGGAAGAGUAUUCCUAAACUUCGGCACACAGAUACAAAUAGCUAUGUCAGUACUACCACACCAGCAGGAACCUGCAACAUCUCAAAUUUCCACAUAAGUAAAAGAUGAAAAGAAAAAGCCUCUGUAUUCUUUCAGUGUCUUCAUCUAGCAAAGCUGCUCCAUUGAGACAUGAAAAGGAUCAAGGUCAGAAAAUUCCUAAAACUUUUAAUAAAGCCUGGGUGGCUUUUCUUCCUUUCUUGUCUGAGUGGACUGCGGGGACUUCUGGACUGUGACACACAAAAAGACAGGAGUGGCAUUGAGCCCAUGCUCAGCCUGAACCAGGAGGGUGGUGCUGGCUGAGACAUCCUGUCUGUGCCAUCCCCAGGUCCAAGAAGGUCCUGGCAAUCCUGGUCUGUUUGGAACAUCUACU